AAAGACAGGAUUCCUCCACCAGCACAUGAGCUCUGGGAACACCUUGUCUUAGAACAACACCUGCACCUGAGGGCUUGGACCUUUGGCCCACUGCUGGUUUGCACGACAAGCAUACGUGAUAUCAUCAACAGUUAGUCCUUCUCUUAAACGAAAUUAGUUAAACAAUUCAGCUUGAAUCAAUCCAGGAAAACAGGAACUUGUGCAGUGAAAGUGCUUUACUGCAAGACAUGGUCACAAAGAUGCGCAUAAUGAAGUCCUGGGAAAGUCCACACGUCAUCUUAAAUGAUGCCACCAUCUUAGUCCUUUCAUCUGCACGUAUUGGGAUUUCUUAGUCCUGCUUGAUAAGAAGUUAGGCUAACACAGCGUGGAGCCUGGUGUGAUAGAUGCGCCAUAGAGCCACGGAACACUAAGACAUCACUGUAGAAAAGCUAAGUUACCACUCUCAGUGCCAUGUCCUGAAGGCUCCCUGAGACAGGAAGCAGCACUUGUAUAGUAAAACAUCAGGCUGCAGACACAAACACUGAAAUCAUCAAGAAACACUAUGGAAGUAAUAUUAGAAGGGCGAUUGUAACAAAUGUCACCAAGAAACAGUGUGCUUGGGUGGGGGGAAAUAUUCAUUCCUUUGAUUAAGAUAAGCAGCAGGUUCGGAAGAAUCGAUUAAGUAUCUAGAACUAAAUGCAGCGGGAAAAAAAAAAAAUGUAAGCCGCUACAGGUUCUGACUUGAUGGAAAUGUGAGAUGUUCUGAUCUCU